rnacentral:rRNA from 1 species
AGUGAACGCUGGCGGUAGGCCUAACACAUGCAAGUCGAACGGCAGCACAGUAAGAGCUUGCUCUUACGGGUGGCGAGUGGCGGACGGGUGAGGAAUACAUCGGAAUCUACUUUUUCGUGGGGGAUAACGUAGGGAAACUUACGCUAAUACCGCAUACGACCUACGGGUGAAAGCAGGGGAUCUUCGGACCUUGCGCGAUUGAAUGAGCCGAUGUCGGAUUAGCUAGUUGGCGGGGUAAAGGCCCACCAAGGCGACGAUCCGUAGCUGGUCUGAGAGGAUGAUCGGCCACACUGGAACUGAGACACGGUCCAGACUCCUACGGGAGGCAGCAGUGGGGAAUAUUGGACAAUGGGCGCAAGCCUGAUCCAGCCAUACCGCGUGGGUGAAGAAGGCCUUCGGGUUGUAAAGCCCUUUUGUUGGGAAAGAAAAGCAGCAGGUUAAUACCCCGCUGUUCUGACGGUACCCGAAGAAUAAGCACCGGCUAACUUCGUG